AGCCAUGCCGCGUGCAGGANGACUGCCCUAUGGGUUGUAAACUGCUUUUAUACAGGAAGAAACCGCUCUACGUGUAGAGCUCUGACGGUACUGUAAGAAUAAGGAUCGGCUAACUCCGUGCCAGCAGCCGCGGUAAUACGGAGGAUCCAAGCGUUAUCCGGAAUCAUUGGGUUUAAAGGGUCCGUAGGUGGAUAAUUAAGUCAGAGGUGAAAGUUUGCGGCUCAACCGUAAAAUUGCCUUUGAUACUGGUUAUCUUGAGUUAUUAUGAAGUAGUUAGAAUAUGUAGUGUAGCGGUGAAAUGCAUAGAUAUUACAUAGAAUACCAAUUGCGAAGGCAGAUUACUAAUAAUCAACUGACACUGAUGGACGAAAGCGUGGGGAGCGAACAGGAUUAGAUACCCUGGUAGUCCAUNAGUGUCAGUUGAUUAUUAGUAAUCUGCCUUCGCAAUUGGUAUUCUAUGUAAUAUCUAUGCAUUUCACCGCUACACUACAUAUUCUAACUACUUCAUAAUAACUCAAGAUAACCAGUAUCAAAGG
rnacentral:rRNA from 1 species